rnacentral:rRNA from 1 species
UACGGAGGGUGCAAGCGUUGUCCGGAAUCACUGGGCGUAAAGGGCGCGUAGGCGGCCCGGUAAGUAGGGGGUGAAAUCCUGCGGCUUAACCGCAGGGCUGCCUUCUAAACUGUCGGGCUCGAGCACGGUAGAGGCAGAUGGAAUUCCCGGUGUAGCGGUGGAAUGCGUAGAGAUCGGGAAGAACAUCAGUGGCGAAGGCGGUCUGCUGGGCCGUUGCUGACGCUGAGGCGCGACAGCGUGGGGGAGCAAACAGG